GGAAGUUACCGGUACGUACGUUGGUAAGUUUCGGUAACGUCCUCGGGUACGACGUAGGGCUAACGCCUGGGACGGCGGUGUCUUAGCCGAUGGCAAGUCGAGUCGGACGUUAUGGGGUAACCUUAUAAGUCAGCGGCGGACGGCGGAGUAACACGUAGCUAACCUACCCUCUGGACCGGGGGAUAACCUACCGAAAGGUGGGCUAAUACCCGAUGUAGUCAUCCUGUAUAGGGGGUGAUGAAAGGUGGGCUUCGUUUACAAGCUCAUGCUGGAGGAGGGGGCUGCGGCCUAUCAGGUAGUUGGUAGGGGUAAUAGCCUACCAAGCCGAUGACGGGUAGCCGGCCUGAGAGGGUGACCGGCCCGAGGGGCACUGAGAUACGGGUCCCACUCCUACGGGAGGCAGCAGGCUAGAAAUUUGGGCAAUGGGGGAAACCCUGACCCAGUGACGCCGCGUGCAGGAAGGAGCCCUUCGGGGUGUAAACUGCUGUCGUGUAGGGAGAAGGGUACUAAGGUGAACAAUCUUAGUACUUGACGGUACUACAGGAGGAAGCCCAGGCUAACCUCGUG
rnacentral:rRNA from 1 species